UACGAAGGGGGCUAGCGUUGCUCGGAAUCACUGGGCGUAAAGCGCACGUAGGCGGACUCUUAAGUCGGUGGUGAAAUCCUGGAGCUCAACUCCAGAACUGCCUUCGAUACUGGGAGUCUCGAGUCCGGGAGAGGUGAGUGGAACUGCGAGUGUAGAGGUGAAAUUCGUAGAUAUUCGCAAGAACACCAGUGGCGAAGGCGGCUCACUGGCCCGGUACUGACGCUGAGGUGCGGAAAGCUAGGGUAGCAAACGGGG
rnacentral:rRNA from 1 species